AUUGAACGCUGGCGGCAGGCCUAACACAUGCCAGUCGAGCGGAUGAAGGGAGCUUUCUCCUGGAUUCAGCGGCGGACGGGUGAGUAAUGCCUAGGAAUCUGCCUGGUAGUGGGGGAUAACGUCCGGAAACGGGCGCUAAUACCGCAUACGUCCUGAGGGAGAAAGUGGGGGAUCUUCGGACCUCACGCUAUCAGAUGAGCCUAGUUCGGAUUAGCUAGUUGGUGGGGUAAAGGCCUACCAAGGCGACGAUCCGUAACUGGUCUGAGAGGAUGAUCAGUCACACUGGAACUGAGACACGGUCCAGACUCCUACGGGAGGCAGCAGUGGGGAAUAUUGGACAAUGGGCGAAAGCCUGAUCCAGCCAUGCCGCGUGUGUGAAGAAGGUCUUCGGAUUGUAAAGCACUUUAAGUUGGGAGGAAGAGCAGUAAGUUAAUACCUUGCUGUUUUGACGUUACCAACAGAAUAAGCACCGGCUAACUUCGUG
rnacentral:rRNA from 1 species